rnacentral:rRNA from 1 species
GAAGCGGGAAAAGCUCAAAUUUAAAAUCUGGCGGUCUUUGGCCGUCCGAGUUGUAGUCUGGAGAAGUGCUUUCCGCGCUGGACCGUGUACAAGUCUCUUGGAACAGAGCGUCAUAGAGGGUGAGAAUCCCGUCUUUGACACGGACUACCAGUGCUUUGUGAUGCGCUCUCAAAGAGUCGAGUUGUUUGGGAAUGCAGCUCAAAAUGGGUGGUAAAUUCCAUCUAAAGCUAAAUAUUGGCGAGAGACCGAUAGCGAACAAGUACCGUGAGGGAAAGAUGAAAAGUACUUUGGAAAGAGAGUUAAACAGUACGUGAAAUUGCUGAAAGGGAAACGCUUGAAGUCAGUCGCGUUCGCCAGGACUCACCCUUGCUUUAGCUUGGUGCAUUUUCUGGUUGACGGGCCAGCAUCGAUUUUGGUUGUCGGAUAAAGGCAGGGGGAAUGUGGCAUCUUCGGAUGUGUUAUAGCCCUCAGUCACAUACGACAGCUGGGAUCGAGGACCGCAGCACGCCUUUAUGGCCGGGGUUCGCCCACGUUCGUGCUUAGGAUGCUGGCAUAAUGGCUUUAAACGAC